rnacentral:rRNA from 1 species
UACGGGGGGGGCAAGCGUUGUUCGGAAUUACUGGGCGUAAAGGGCUCGUAGGCGGCCAACUAAGUCAGACGUGAAAUCCCUCGGCUUAACCGGGGAACUGCGUCUGAUACUGGAUGGCUUGAGUUUGGGAGAGGGAUGCGGAAUUCCAGGUGUAGCGGUGAAAUGCGUAGAUAUCUGGAGGAACACCGGUGGCGAAGGCGGCAUCCUGGACCAACACUGACGCUGAGUGAGCGAAAGCCAGGGGAGCAAACAGGG